GGCUCAGGACUAACGCUGGCGGCGUGCCUAAUACAUGCAAGUCGAACGGGAUUCUUUGAUCAGCUUGCUGAGAGAAGGAUCCUAGUGGCGGACGGGUGAGUAACGCGUGGGAAUCUGCCUCUUACUGGGGGAUAACAGUGGGAAACUACUGCUAAUACCGCAUAAGAUCUUCGGAUGAAAGGUGCAACUGCACCGGUAGGAGAUGAGCCCGCGUCCCAUUAGCUAGUUGGUGAGGUAAAGGCUCACCAAGGCGACGAUGGGUAGCCGGCCUGAGAGGGUGAACGGCCACACUGGGNACUGAGACACGGCCCAGACUCCUACGGGAGGCAGCAGUAGGGAAUCUUCCGCAAUGGGCGCAAGCCUGACGGAGCGACGCCGCGUGAGUGAUGAAGGCCUUCGGGUCGUAAAAGCUCUGUUCUUGAGGACGAAUAAGCCAGGGAGUGGAAAGCCCUGGUGAUGACUGUACUUCAAGGAGAAAGCUCGGCUACUACGUGCCAGCAGCC
rnacentral:rRNA from 1 species